GGCUGUCGUCAGCUCGUGUCGUGAGAUGUUGGGUUAAGUCCGUAACGAGCGCAACCCUUGUCCUUAGUUACCAGCACGUUAUGGUGGGCACUCUAAGGAGAACUGCCGGUGACAAACCGGAGGAAGGUGGGGAUGACGUCAAGUCAUCAUGGCCCUUACGGCCUGGGCUACACACGUGCUACAAUGGUCGGUACAAAGGGUUGCCAAGCCGCGAGGUGGAGCUAAUCCCAUAAAACCGAUCGUAGUCCGGAUCGCAGUCCGCAACUCGACUGCGUGAAGUCGGAAUCGCUAGUAAUCGUGAAUCAGAAUGUCACGGUGAAUACGUUCCCGGGCCUU
rnacentral:rRNA from 1 species